rnacentral:rRNA from 1 species
UACGUAGGGUGCGAGCGUUAAUCGGAAUUACUGGGCGUAAAGCGUGCGCAGGCGGUUUUGCAAGCCGGAUGUGAAAUCCCCGGGCUUAACCUGGGAAUGGCAUUUGGGACUGCAAGGCUGGAGUGCGGCAGAGGAGACUGGAAUUCCGCGUGUAGCAGUGAAAUGCGUAGAUAUGCGGAGGAACACCGAUGGCGAAGGCAAUCCCCUGGACCUGUACUGACGCUCAUGCACGAAAGCGUGGGGAGCAAACAGG